rnacentral:rRNA from 1 species
CCCUUAGAUGUUCUGGGCUGCACGCGCGCUACACUGAUGCGCUCAACGAGUUUAUGACCUUGCCCGGAAGGGUUGGGUAAUCUUCUUAAAACGCAUCGUGAUGGGGAUAGAUUAUUGCAAUUAUUAAUCUUCAACGAGGAAUACCUAGUAAGUGCGAGUCAUCAGCUUGCGCUGACUUACGUCCCUGCCCCUUGUACACACCGCCCGUCGCUGCCCGGAACUGAGCCGUUUCGAGAAAGCCGGGGACUGACGGCUUGUGGGUGCGCAAGCGCUUCUUGCCGAUGGAAACCAGUUUAAUCGGUAUGGCUUGAACCGGGCAAAAGUCGUAACA